rnacentral:lncRNA from 1 species
CGUAAUAAAAAAUUAUAAAUAAGAUUAUUCCAACUCCUUUAACUUAUUUCUUAUUUUUAAUAAUUAAAUUAAUCAAAUAUUAAUCGAAUAUUAAACAUAAAAUAAAAAUGAAUGAUAGAAGAUUAACUUAAAAAGAAAAAGAUAACAAUGGAGUGAGGCUCAGAUCUGUAAAAAGCGGAGACACCGGAGGAUCUAAUUCCGCCAUGGCUGCAACCAUCCAGUUGCUUGCGAAUCGCAAGCCAUCCGGCGUUGCCCAGCCAAGAUACGGGUCAGAUUCCCCCGAGCCCCAACCGGGGUUCGCUACAAUUAGAUUAUAAAACAUUAUCAUCAUAGCCUCUUUGUUAAUAGCUGCGCCAUCGGAGACUCUGGAGAUGCUCUAGUACAUGAAUUCAUGCAGAUCACUUAAGUGAAGGGGAAUGGCGUUGAUAUGGUAGAAUGCUUUGUUAAUAUUAUUUUAAUAAUAAUAAUAAAUUAUUAUGGGCUACAUAUAUAAAUAUAUCAAUUAUAUUUAAUUAUUUAUUUUAUUGGGUUAAAUUACGUGAUCAAAUCAGUGUUCUAAAAGUCGGCGAUUAAUCGGGAUUAAUCGCCGAUUAAUCGCUGUUCGGUCGGCCACCGUCUCGAUUAAGCGUUAAUCGGCGAAAAAAUAGUUUUUUCUGAAAAUCGGGAUUAAUCGGUCAAAAGUCGGGAUUAAUCGGAAAAAGUCGGUCAAAAAUCGGUGAAUUUAAAAAAAUUAAAAAUAAAAAGUAAAAAAAUCUUAAAAUUCUAAAAUUUAAUUUUAAAUAAAACAAAAGGCACGGAAAUGACAAAACACAUAAAUUAAAGUUGUUUUAUUACCUUUCACUCUUUCAAUAUUAACUUUAAACUCUAAUUACAUAAAUUUGCAAUAUCUUCCUUCGCAGAUUCAAUCAAAUUCAAGUUUAUAUAUGAGAUGAAUGGAUUUGUAUAUGUAUAUAAAGGCAUGUUUUGUGUUAUAAAAAAUCAUUAAUCUUUUGAUUUUAUAUGACUAUAAAUUUAUACUAUAUAUAAUUAUAUUAAUAUAUACUAUUAUUUAAAAAAUAAUAUUAAAUUGAUUACGAUUAAUGAUCCGAUUAAUCACUCCGAUUAAUCUCCGAUUAUCCGAUUAAUCGCUAGACGGUGCCUUCACCGACUAAGUCCGAUUCCCGCUUUUUACAACACUGGAUCAAAUAAGAAACCCAAUUAGAUUUUAAUUAUUGUGUGGGUCAAAUGAGUGGAUACUCAAUACUAAGGCCUAAUCAAUAUAUAUAUAUAAAGGAGGAUGCGGGCGUCUCUACAAUUGCUCGAUUCAGUCCUCUGAAUUUUCUUGAUUUUCGGAGAGAAAAUAUAGUUAUAAUUCAAAAAAUCAGGUCCAAGAAUUCUGAAAGUAAUACAAUUCUUUUCUUAUUUAAUUCUAAAGAUGAUACAGUUCUUUUCUUAUUUGGUAUUUUUUAUUAAACUCUAAAGAUGAUACAAUAGUAUUUCUUAUUGAAUUCUAAAGAUGAUACAAUUCUUUUCUUAUUUAGGAAUCCAAAACAAAUAGGAUUAUAUUUAUUCAAACUAAUAAUAAUAGAUAAAAUACAAUUUAUAUUUAAGAUAUGUAAAGUAAUAUAUACAAUUCUUAUUUUCGAUAAGAUAUAUUGAAGAUAUGUUUAACGGGUACACGAUUGAAAAUAACUUUUAUGGAAUUAUAAUAGUAUUUCGUAUCAAACUUUAUAAAAAAAAUUAUUUAUUAGUAUUGUGUUUAAGGGGAGGGCGGCCCAAAUUAAUUUUUACCUAAAUAAUAAUAUUUUUUUAUUAGUAUUAUGUUUGAUGGGAAAGUAGCUAAAACAAUUUUUUGUCUAGAUUUAUAAAAAAUUCAUAACGCCGCCGCGAAGCGCGGCUUUUUUCACUAGUCAGUAUAUAUAUAUAAAGGAGGAUGCGGGCGUCUCUACGAUUGUUCGAUUCAGUCUUCUGAUUUUUCUUAAAUUUCGGAGAGAAAAUAUAGUUAUAAUUCAAAAAAUCUGGUUCAAGAAUUCUAGAGGUAAUACAAUUCUUUUCUCAUUGAAUUCUAAAUAUGAUACAAUUUUUUUCUUAUUUAGUAUUUCUUAUUGAAUUCUAAAGAUGAUACAAUAGUAUUUCUUAUUGAAUUCUAAAGAUUAUACAAUUCUUUUUAUAUUUACUAAUCCUAAAAGUAAUAGGACUAUAUUUAUUGAAACUAAUAAUAAUAGAUAAAAUAUAAUUUAUAUUUAAUAUUUGUUAAGUAAUAUAUACAAUUCUUAUUUUCGAUAAGAUAUAUUGAAGAUGUAGUUGAAUUUUAUAUUAUAAAAUUUUAUUUUAAAUAUGUUCGAAUUAUAAAGUUGGCAUCUCUAGAAUUGUUCGAUUCAGUUUAUAAUUUUCUUAAAUUUCGGAUAGAAAAUAAAAUUAUAAUAAAAACCAAAUUCAAAUAUUUUAUAGAUAAAACGAUUGCAAAGAUAGUACAAUUCUUUUACUUAUUUAGAAAUCAUAAAAGAUUAGGAUUCCAUUUAUUCAAAAUAACAAUUAUAGAACAAAUAUAAUUAAAAAAAAUACAAUUUUUAUUUUCAAAAGUUAUAAAAAUUUUCCUUCAAAAAAAAAGUUGUAAAAUUUAUAAUCUUAUUUUAUUAAUUUUUUUCAAAUUAUAUAUUAAAAAAAAAUAAAAACCAGCAUCUUCUAGAAUCUCACAUUGUCUAAACAGGUUCGUAGCGCUAGACUCGCGUCGUUCCAUAAUGAUCAACAAGAAAAUAACAUAAAACAUCUCUGACAUAUUUGCAGGCUCUCAAAUAGUAUGCAUGGACUUACGACCAAUCUCGACAAUAGUUCGAUUCAGUCAUAUAAUUUUCUUGAAUUUCGAAUAGAAAAUAAAAUUAUAAUUCCAAAAAUCAAAUUCAAGGAUCUUCUUAUUUAGGAAUCCUAAAAGAAAUAGGAUUUUAUUUAUUUAAACUAACAAUCAUUGAAAAAAUACAAUUUAUAGUUAAAAUUUGUAAGGUAAUAUGUACAAUUUUUAUUUUCGAUUUAGUUUUAUAAUUUUCUUAAAUUUCGAGUAGAAAAUCAAGGAUUAUAAAGAUAAUAAUCAUUAAAAAAGACUAAUAGCACAAAAAUAAGAAUAAUAGAAGAAUAAUAUUUUUUAACUAAUAAAUAGGAAUCAUUAAAUAAUAAUAAUAAUAAAUAAAUACGAUAUAUAAAAUAGGAAUUAUAUAUUGAUUUUAUGAUAAUCAAAAUGAUUCUUGAUUAGUAUUAUGUUUGACGGGCACGGGAGGCGGCCCAAACUAAUUUUUAUCUAAAUAAUAAUAAUAUUUUUAUUAGUUUUGUGUUUGACGGGCACGAGAGGGCCCAAACUAAUUUUUAUCUAAAUAAUAAUAAUUUUUCCAUUAGUAUUUUGUUUGACGGGAAAGUGGCUAAAAUAAUUUUUUUAUCUAUGUUAUAAUAUAUUUCUUUUCCUAAAACAGGACCACAGUUCAAAAUAAUUUUUAUCCAAUUAUAAGCUUUAAUAUUACAAGUUUCAUAUAUUAUUCUAUUUCAUCAUUUAUGAAUAGAUAUUACACGCCGUCACGAAGUAAUCACACCUUAUAUCAAACGGCUUUUAUGAAGCAAACAAAUUUUUACAAUAAUACACCCUAAUAUAGCAUACAUCCAAAAAUUCUUGAUAAUUUGAUAGAAUAUUAAAUGAGGACCACUUAAGCAAAUUUUUAUACUAAUUAUAAUAUUUUUUUUAUUAGUCAUAUGUUUAACGAUUAUUUAUUUUAUUGGGUUAAAUUACGUGAUCAAAUAAGAAAUCCAAUUAGAUUUUAAUUAUUGUGUGGGUCAAAUGAGUGGAUACCCAAUACUAAGGCCUAAUUUAAUUAUAAUGGGAGAUUAAAUUGAGCGUUAGAAUACAGAAGGUUAUAGUCCCCAAUAUAUCAAGCAACACAUACAGUCUUUCUUUACCCAUCAGAGAGGACUACUAGAGAAAACCUAAGGAGUGCUUGGUUGAGGAAGACAAUAACGCUGCUUCAAAAGCAAGAUUACUUAAGGUUAUACCACUAUCAUCACUAAUGGAUACAGGUAUGCUUCCGCUUACAGUUUAUAACUCGAUAGUUGAAUAUGAUGUUUACGAUCCUUGUCUCUAUUAUAGAGAAUUUGUGCUUAUAGAAUUAUAAGUUUCUUACCAUUGGCAUCAGAGCCACUUCAUAUUUGAUUAUUGAGUGUACAGUUUUUGCAUAUGUUUUGAAAUCGGUUAAUCUGAUUUGUUCGGUUAUUGUUUUCCGAGAGGAUUUGUGUGCACGCACAGUCUGGCUAAUUUUUUGACACUUGAAUUGCGUUUGCGUGAUUUCACUUCGGUCAAAUUUUCUUUUACACACGCGCAUGUCCAGUAAAAUUUUGAAUUGUUAAGGUUCAACCCCAUGGUUAUUUUAAUUAUGUAACUGUUGAUCAUGGAUGCAUGUUACUUUUGUAUGUCAUGCAUUAUAAUACCAUAUCAUACUUGGUACUUUUGUUUUUUUUUGUUUAGUAAGCUCCAUGUUAAUGGUUAAAGUGAUGCUCUGGAUUCAGUUUAUUAUUAUGCAGUAAUACAGUACCUAGCAUGUUGAGUCAUAUUUUUAUAUAAUUUGGUUAAUUUGCUGCAAAUAAAGAAAAUGUAUUAUGGUUAUGUGUUAAAUUUUAAUAUUGGCAAAAUAUUAUUAACCUAUUUAGUUAGGUGGUCAAAUAAUUUUAAGUUAAUUGAUUGAAGCAAUAUGUUGCCAAAGUAACCUCUUUUGUGUAGAUUAGUUAAUUUAAAAGUAUUAUUAUGACGAUUGAAUAUUUAAUUUAAUGCAAAUUUUAUCGGCCCAAAGGAAGAUAAAUAUUUGGCCAAAAUUAAAAUAUUCUUGUGAUAGUAAGUAUGUAGCAAUAUAAAGUUUUUUUUUCAUGUGAAUAAUAAGUCGGUCCAAAGAAAGGCAUAUUAUUUGACAGAAAUUAAUUGUUAAUACUUGAUUAGUGCGUGGAGAGUACCAAUUGCAAAUUAAAUUUUCUGUCCAAAGACUAAAAUUUAUUGUUGCGCUAGGUAUCUUGUGAUGGUGUUGCCAAUAAUAAAAUUUAUUAUAUUAUUAUAUAUGUUAGUGUUGAGCAUUUUCUGUAAAUUUGUUUUCUAUUGCAGUUAUGACUACAGUUAAUUCUGCUUCUGCUCAAUUGAGCAUGAUUCCAAUGUUGAAUGGGACAAACUAUGUCACAUGGAAAGAGACUGUUGAGAUUGUUCUUGGGUGCAUGGAUCUUGACCUUGCGCUAAGGAAAGAGCAACCAGUUCCCACUACGGAUGAUCCGAAAACGGAUCAAAUUGAUAAGUGGGAACGCUCUAAUCGCAUGUGUAUGGCGAUCAUGAAGCGAACGAUCCCAACUGGCUUUCGGGGCUCCAUUGCUGAGAGCACAAGUGCCAAGAAGUUCCUCUCUGAAAUUGAGCAAUAUUUUGCUAAGAAUGAGAAAGCGGAAACGAGUAAUCUUCUGUCAAAACUCGUGACCAUGAAGUAUAAAGGAAAGGGGAACAUAAGGGAGUACAUCAUUGGGAUGUCUAAUCUUGCAGGCAAACUUAAGGAACUCAAGUUAGAACUUUCAGAUGAGCUGCUUGUUCACUUGGUUCUGAUUUCUCUCCCUCCUCAGUUUGGACACUUUGUGGUGAGUUACAAUACUCAAAAGGAAAUUGGACUCUUAAUGAGCUCAUUUCACACUGUGUGCAAGAGGAGGAGAGGGUUUUGCGAGAGAAGACUGAAAGUGCUCACUUGGCAUCGAGCUCUCAUGAUAAGAAAAAAAAGAGAGGUAAGGAUUCUGCAAGUGGAAAACCCAAGCAACCUUCGCAAGAGAAGCAGGAUAAGGGACCAACCUGUUACUUUUGUAAGAAGGCUGGAUAUAUGAAGAAUGAGUGUUCCAAAUAUGCUGCUUGACGUGUGAAGAAGGGUAUGACUUUUGUCUUUGUUUGUUCUGAAGUUAAUUUAGCUUCUGUACCUAAAGAUACUUGGUGGGUAGAUUCUGGUGCUACUACUCAUAUAAGUGUAUCAAUGCAGGGUUGCCUGUGGAGCCGACCGCCAACUGAUGCUGAAAGAUACAUCUAUGUGGGUGACGGCAAUAAAGUUUCAGUUGAAGCAGUUGGAACAUUUAGAUUGUUAUUAAAAACUGGUGUUUAUUUGGAUUUAUUUGAGACUUUUGUUGCACCGUCUUUUAGACGGAAUCUUAUUUCUAUUUCCUGUUUGGACAAAUAUGGCUACACUUGUUCCUUUGGAAAUAAUAAAGUUUGUUUCUCAUUAAAUUCAAAUGUGGUUGCUACUGGUUCUUUAAUUGAUAAUCUUUAUAUGCUUGAGACUGUUACUUUUAAUAAUGAAAUUUUGCACUCAAGUGCAAGAGGUACAAAGCGUAAGAUAACUGAGAAUUCUGCCAUGUUGUGGCACAAGCGCUUAGGACACAUCUCUAAACAGAGAAUUCAGAGGCUUGUGAAUGAUAGAAUUCUUGAUCCCUUAGAUUUAAGUGAUUUUCAGGUUUGCAUAGAAUGCAUUAAGGAAAACAAACAAACUCAAGAAAGUUAGGUGCCAACAGAGCUACUAGUGUCUUAGAACUGAUUCAUACCGAUAUAUGUGGACCAUUCCCUACGGCCUCUUGGAACGGUCAAUGGUAUUUUAUCACGUUCAUAGACGAUUACUCAAGAUAUGGUUACCUAUACUUAAUACAUGAGAAGUCACAAGCUUUGGAUGUGUUUAAGGUCUUCAAAGCUGAAGUUGAGAAACAGCGUGGUAAGCCAAUUAAAGCUGUCAGGUCUGAUCGUGGUGGUGAGUACUACGGUAGAUAUGAUGGAUCAGGUGAACAACGUCCAUGGCCCUUUGCUAACUUCCUAAAGGAGUGUGGGAUUGUCCCUCAGUACACUAUGCCAGGCAAACCUAAUAUGAAUGGUGUUGCUGAGAGGCGAAACCGUACUCUUAAAGAUAUGGUGAGAAGUAUGAUAAGUCAUUCUUCUUUACCUGAAUCACUUUGGGGAGAUGCACUAAUGACUGCUAUUUAUAUCCUUAAUAGAGUUCCAACAAAGGCAGUGGCCGAAACCCCCUUACAAACUUUGGACUGAUAAAACUCCAAGUAUUAGGCAUUUACAUGUUCGGGGUUGUCCAGCUGAGGCAAGGCCAUAUAGACCAAAUGAAAAGAAACUGGACUCAAGGACGGUCAGUUGCUAUUUUGUUGGAUAUCCGGAGCGUACUCGCGGAUUUAAAUUUUAUGAUCCCGCUACUAGAUCCUUCUUCGAGACUGAUAAUGCAAGAUUUUUUGAGGAUGUUGAUUUUGGGAGGGAAGAUAUAGGUAGAAGUGUUGUCUUUGAAGAAGAUAGUCAUGAUCUUAUUCAUGACACGACCGAGAGCAAUGAUCAGAUUAUGGUACCUAUCAUUGUUCAAGGCCCUCCGGUUCAAGACAACACUGCAUUCCCCAUGAGGAACCAAUUGAUCAAACUCAACAACCUCAUGAAUCACAAGAAGUGCCACUAAGGAGAUCCACUAGAGAGCGAAAGAGCGCAAUUCCAGAUGAUUAUGUUGUUUUUCUACAAGAACAUGAAGAUGGAAUUGGCAUUGGAGAAGAUGAUCCUGUAAAUCUUCAACAGGCCAUGCAGAGUCCUCAUGCUCAAAAGUGGAUCGAUGCCAUGAAUGAAGAGAUGCAAUCUAUGAAAGACAAUGACGUUUGGGAUCUUGUCGAGUUGCCUAAAGGAUCAAAGCCUGUUGGUUGCAAAUGGGUUUUUAAAACCAAAAAGGAUUCAAAAGGUAACAUCGAAAGAUAUAAGGCUCGUCUAGUCGCAAAAGUAUUCACUCAAAAGAAAGCUAUCGACUAUAAUGAAACUUUCUCUCCAGUUUCCACGAAAGACUCAUUUAGAAUUUUUAUGGCGCUUGUGGCUCAUUAUGACCUAGAGCUACAUCAGAUGGACGUAAAGACAGCGUUUCUCAAUGGUAACAUUGGAGAGACAAUUUAUAUGGUGCAACCAGAAAAUUUUGUCAUUCGAGAUCCAAAGACAAUGGUUUGCAGAUUAAAGAAGUCCAUCUAUGGUCUCAGACAGGCCUCUCGUGAAUGGUAUCACAAAUUUCAUCAUGUUAUCACAUCAUAUGGUUUUGAAGUGAACUUGGUGGAACAUUGUGUAUAUCACAAGUUCAGUGGGAGCAAAUUUAUCUUUCUUCUCUUAUACGUUGAUGACAUCUUACUUGCCACUAAUGAUAUAGGCUUAUUGCACGAUACCAAGAAAUUUCUCACUAAUCAAUUUGAGAUGAAGGAUCUUGGUAACGCCUCUUUUGUAUUAGGAAUUCAGAUACAUCGAGAUCGCUCUCGAGGUAUUCUUGGAUUGUCGCAAAAGAGCUAUAUCGAAAAGAUCCUGGAAAGGUAUGUCAUGAAAGAUUGUGCACUAAUGGAUACACCCGUGUCUAAAGGAGACAAAUUCAGUCUCAAACAAUGUCCCAAGAAUGAACUUGAGAUAAAAGAAAUGCAGAAGAUACCAUAUGCCUCGGCAGUGGGAAGUCUGAUGUAUGCUCAAGUUUGUACUCGUCCUGACAUAGCAUUGAUUGUUGGAAUGUUGGGAAGAUAUUUGAGCAAUCCGGGGAUGGAACAAUGGAAAGCAGUAAAAUGAGUCCUACGGUAUUUUAAGAAAACAAAAGACUAUAUGCUCACAUAUAGGAAAUCAGAUCAUCUCGAAAUCAUUGGAUAUUCGGAUUCUGACUUUGGAGGAUGCAAAGAUGAAAGAAAAUCUACUUCAUGCUAUGUUUAUUUAUUAGCUGGUGGAGCGAUUUCAUGGAAGUCUGCUAAACAGACGCUCAUAGCUUCAUCCACCAUGGCUGCGGAGUAUAUAGCAUGCUUUGUGGCAUCCAAUCAAGCAUUAUGGCUGCGAAAUUUUGUCACUGGUUUGCGUAUUCUUGAUGGUGUUGAAAGAUUAUUAAAGAUAUUAUGUGAUAAUAAAUCAGCAGUGGAGUAUUCUAAUAACAAUAGGAGCACUACUGAAGCAAAACAUAUAGAUAUCAAGUUACUAGUUGUUAAAGAAAAGAUACAGAGUGGACAAAUUUCUAUAGAACACAUUGGGACUAACUCCAUGAUUGCGGAUCCGCUCACCAAGUCGUUAGCACCUAAGGUUUUUCACGAGCAUAUUGCUCAUAUGGGUGUUACCUCAUGUGAUACUUUGGUUUAGUGGGAGUUUGUAUUUUGGUGUGUUACGUAAUAAACAUUGAGAUGUUUAUGUUCUGCAGAAUACAGUUGAUGGAAUUUUAGUUCAUUAAUUGUCACUCUACUUUUGUUCAAUUUUCUUAUUGUGGUUUAAACAUUGAGUUGAGAAAAUUUAUAUAAAUCUCAUUAGAGAUUGACUAAGGACUAGUUGGAAAUAGGCAUUAUAUAGAUCACAUUGUAUGUAAUUUCCAUGUCACUUAUCCAUACUUUGAUUCAUGUCGUUGAAUAUAUUUGUGUGGUGACCACGGAAGGUUUAGUCGCGUAAAGUUUGUGACGAAUACCGCCAGAAUCUCAUACCUAUAUAGUAGAUGGACCGAAUUGUUUUAGUAAAAUCUAAGGACAAUGAAUAGCAUAAGGUUGCGCACUAAAGAUAUGUAUAAUUGAUUUUGGAUUUAAUAUGAAGCCCAAGUGGGAGAUUGUUAUUAUUAUUUUAAUAAUAAUAAUAAAUUAUUAUGGGCUACAUAUAUAAAUAUAUCAAUUAUAUUUAGUUAUUUAUUUUAUUGGGUUAAAUUACGUGAUCAAAUAAGAAAUCCAAUUAGAUUUUAAUUAUUGUGUGGGUCAAAUGAGUGGAUACCCAAUACUAAGG